GAGGAUAUAGCUCAGUGGUAGAGCGCUUGCUUAGUAUGCAUGAGGUCCUGGGUUCAAUCCCCAGUACCUCU
rnacentral:tRNA from 1 species